AUUGAACGCUGGCGGCAUGCUUUACACAUGCAAGUCGAACGGCAGCACGGGAGCUUGCUCCUGGUGGCGAGUGGCGAACGGGCGAGUAAUGCAUCGGAACGUGCCUAGUGGUGGGGGAUAACACAUCGAAAGAUGUGCUAAUACCGCAUACGCCCUGAGGGGGAAAGUGGGGGAUCUUCGGACCUAACGCUAUUAGAGCGGCCGAUGUCGGAUUAGCUAGUUGGUGGGGUAAAGGCCCACCAAGGCGACGAUCCGUAGCUGGUCUGAGAGGAUGAUCAGCCACACUGGGACUGAGACACGGCCCAGACUCCUACGGGAGGCAGCAGUGGGGAAUUUUGGACAAUGGGGGCAACCCUGAUCCAGCCAUGCCGCGUGAGUGAAGAAGGCCUUCGGGUUGUAAAGCUCUUUCAGUCGGGAAGAAAAGGCGCCUUUUAAUACAGGGCGCUGCUGACGGUACCGACAGAAGAAGCACCGGCUAACUACGUGCCAGCCGCCGCGGUAAAAC
rnacentral:rRNA from 1 species